rnacentral:rRNA from 1 species
AUGUUCAAUCAAGCCUUGUUGGCAAGGCAGGCUUGGAGAUUGCUGAUCAACCCUGAGAGUCUCUGCGCAAGAGUCUUGAAAGCACGUUACUAUCCCAAUGGACGGCUAGAGGACACGGUUUUCUCCACAAAUGCAUCACAAACUUGGCAGUCCAUCGUCCAUGGGUUGGAGCUUUUGAAACAAGGCCUGAUUUGGCGUAUUGGUAAUGGCAGAUCGAUUCGCAUUUGGAGGGACCCUUGGAUCCCUCACUCCACUGGUCGCCCUCCAAUAUCGCAACAAGGUAGAUGUAGACUGCGAAGGGUCAGCGAUUUACUUGAUGAAACGGGUGCAAGGCGGUCAGACUUACUGCAGCAAUACUUUUUGCCUAUUGACGUCCAUCAUAUCAUGAAGAUAAAGGCCUCUCCACGGCUAGGCGAUGACUUUAUUGCAUGGGGGGCUGAACGUACCGGUAUCUUCACCGUACGUAGUGCGUACCAGUUGGCACUCGAGGACAAGUUGCGUCCCUCUUCAGUCGCGGCGAGCAGGGCACCGGACGGGCGACGUGCCGUCUGGGCAUUUUUAUGGAGGUGCCCUGCUCCUCUAAAGAUGCGUGUUUUUUGUUGGCGUGUGGCUACGAAUGCUCUCGCAACUUGGGCAAAUAAAUUUGCACAGGGAGCGGAGCAGCCAAUAUCGCAUGUGGACGUUAGCUGGAAGUCUCAGCGCAAGUGGAGCCCGCCUCCGGAAGGUUGGGCGAAGCUCAACGUGGAUGGGUCAUUCUCACACGAGGAUGGAAGCGCCGGUGCCGGCAUGAUCUUGCGCGGGCACGACGGCGCCAUCAUUUUCUCUGCAUGCCGUUCGCUUCGGUUAUACCCGGACCCAUUGCACGCUGAGUUGGCCGGGUGCACGGAGGGACUCGGCCUAGCUUUGCAGUGGACGGAGUUGCCGAUUAUCCUGGAGUGUGACAGUAUGCAGGCCGUGCAGAUGAUCAAGGCCAAAGGACCGGAUCGUUCCCAGCAUGCGAUGGUGGUCUCAGAAGUAAAGAGUCUUAUGGGUACAAGGGAGUGUUGUGUUACUCACAUCUCUAGAGAGCAAACUAAUAUUAGUCAUGUGUUAGCAAACUUCGAUCGAACGGAGAACCGUACUGUGGUCUGGCUCCGCUCGAACCUGCUAAUGUCCCUAGUCUGUGUAGGGAUGAAUUCGUGUACUCUUGAGUAA